UAUUAGAACAAAACCAAACGGCUUCGGCUGUUCCCAGUUGAAUCAGAAUAACUCAGCUGAUCGUACGGUCUUGCACCGACGACGUGUCUUUCAAGUAUCUGCUUUAUCAACUUUCGAUGGUAGGGUAUCUGCCUACCAUGGUGGUGACGGAUAACGGAGGAUCAGGGUUCGACUCCGGAGAAGGGGCCUGAGAAAUGGCCACUACGUCUAAGGAUGGCAGCAGGCGCGCAAAUUACCCACUCUCAGAAUUUGGAGGAGGUAGUGACGAGAAAUAACGAGGUUGAUCUCUUCUGAGGCCAACCAUCGGAAUGGGUACAAUUUAAACCCUUUAACGAGUAUCUAUGAGAGGGCAAGUCUGGUGCCAGCAGCCGCGGUAAUUCCAGCU
rnacentral:rRNA from 1 species